UGAUAGCUGUGAAGCGUGAGGUUGCUGCUUGUAUAAGCAGGUUUUCCGUGGAGCGAAUGUCAAGUUAGGAAACUGGCGACAA
rfam:Clostridium saccharolyticum WM1, complete genome.